UACAGAGGUCCCGAGCGUUGUUCGGAUUCAUUGGGCGUAAAGGGUGCGUAGGUGGCGCUGUAAGUGGGGUGUGAAAUCCCGGGGCUUAACUCCGGAACUGCAUUCCAUACUGCGGUGCUUGAGGACUGGAGAGGAGACUGGAAUUUACGGUGUAGCAGUGAAAUGCGUAGAUAUCGUGAGGAACACCAGAGGCGAAGGCGGCUACCUGGACAAUUGCUGACACUCAGGCACGAAAGCGUGGGGAGCAAAAGGG
rnacentral:rRNA from 1 species